AUUGAACGCUGGCGGCAUGCUUUACACAUGCAAGUCGAGCGGCAGCGCGGGGCAACCUGGCGGCGAGCGGCGAACGGGUGAGUAAUACAUCGGAACGUGCCCGAGAGUGGGGGAUAACGCAGCGAAAGCUGUGCUAAUACCGCAUACGAUCUCAGGAUGAAAGCAGGGGACCGCAAGGCCUUGCGCUCACGGAGCGGCCGAUGGCAGAUUAGGUAGUUGGUGGGAUAAAAGCUUACCAAGCCGACGAUCUGUAGCUGGUCUGAGAGGACGACCAGCCACACUGGGACUGAGACACGGCCCAGACUCCUACGGGAGGCAGCAGUGGGGAAUUUUGGACAAUGGGCGAAAGCCUGAUCCAGCCAUGCCGCGUGCAGGAAGAAGGCCUUCGGGUUGUAAACUGCUUUAGUCUAGGAAAAAGGGGUGCGAGGUUAAUACCCUCGUGCUUUGAUGGUACUGGAAGAAUAAGCACCGGCUAACUACGUG
rnacentral:rRNA from 1 species